AUGGAGUCCCCGCAAAAGAAGGCUGGAUCCAUGGACGGCAGCGAGAAGACACCUCUUCCUCAUCUGCUGCCGGUGACGGUGGCCAAGAAGACGCCUCGUCCGGAUGUUGUCCGAGAGGUCAGCGAGUGGGUGCUCGUGACCGCCGGCAUCUUCGUGUUCUCCUUCGGCUUGGCCUACGCACUCGUGCUCUUCCACGUCCCCUGCAGCCAGUCCUCCUUCUUUCUUCGGUGCGGCCAGCUGACGGAUGCGGAGGAAGCUGUGGCGAACGCCCUAGGCAUCGGGAUGCUGUGCUGCGUCGCACUCCAGGCGGCCGCGGCGGUGCUGGCGCUGCGUCUCCAGUGCCGCCGUCGCUGGGUCCGCCGUGCCCUCGCCUACCUCGCGCUCGCGCUCGCCAUCGGCGGCCACUGCUUCUACGCCGCGCUAGCCCGCCUCUUCCUCGUCGCCGACCCAGGAGACCUCUUCUUCAGGAUCUGCUCAACCGUGGGCAUCUUCGUCUGCGCGGCGGGAGACACCAUCAGCUUCCUGGCCCUCAUCCUCGGCCGCGAGGAGUAG
rnacentral:rRNA from 1 species